rnacentral:tRNA from 1 species
GAUAGUUUGGUCGAGUGGUCUAAGGUGCUACAUUUAGGCUCUGUUCCGAAAGGGCGUGGGUUCAAAUCCCACAAAUGUCA